rnacentral:rRNA from 1 species
GAUUAACGCUGGCGGCGUGCUUAACACAUGCAAGUCGAACGAUGAAGAUCUGUAUUAUUUCUUCUGAUCGAGUGAAUUAGGAUUAGAGUAACAACUGAUUAACCUGCCCUUGACUUUCUGACUUCUUCAAGAAAAUGGCCCUUGUACACGACUAAAACUCCUGCUGCAUGUAUCACUUCGCAUAAUUUCAUCGGCUGAGUAUGGACUCUCUAAUAAUCACUUUGUUCUGAUUAUAUAGGUUUACAGAAAAUUUCACACCAAGGCAACCAUGCAGAAGCUCACCUUGACAGUUGGUACCUGACAAUUGGGACUGACUCCUCCGGCCAGGACUCCUACGGGGAAUAUUGCACAAUGAAUUUUAACCCUGGUGCAGAAACCCUGAUGCCGCGACGCCGCGUCUUUUAGAAGGACUCCGCUUUCGCCUGAUCUUUUGCAUGAGAGAAAAAUGUGAGUACUAUACCACUAACUACCUGCUAGUUACCUGCCACCAUGAUCCGUAAUACGUAAGGACCGACCGUAUUCCUUAAUCAUUGAGCGUUCAGAGUACGUAGAUCGCUCCUUAAGUGAAAUCUCGAAGCUUAUCCCUCAGCUAUGCUUCGCUUCUAAAACUGGAGACCUUGAGUAAUGGAAGGGAAAGUGGAAUUCCUAGUGUAGCGGUGGAAUGCGCAGAUAUUAGGAGGAAUACCGGUGGCGGAGGCGACUUUCUGGCCAUUAACUGACGCUGAGGUACGAAAGCGUGGGUAGCAAACAGGAUUAGAUACCCUGGUAGUCCACGCCGUAAACGAUGAGUGUUAGGUGUCUGGAGUAAAUCUGGGUGCCGCAGCUAACGCAUUAAACACUCCGCCUGGGGAGUACGCACGCAAGUGUGAAACUCAAAGGAAUUGACGGGGACCCGCACAAGCAGCGGAGCAUGUGGUUUAAUUCAAAGCAACGCGAAGAACCUUACCAAGUCUUGACAUAUUUUGGAAGCACAUAGAGAUAAGUGCCUAUAUCUUCGGAUAACUGAAAUACAGGUGGUGCAUGGUUGUCGUCAGCUCGUGUCGUGAGAUGUUGGGUUAAGUCCCAUAACGAGCGCAACCCUUGUCUUAUGUUGCCAGCAUUUGGUUGGGGACUCAUGAGAGACCGCCGGGGUCAACUCGGAGGAAGGUGGGGAUGACGUCAAGUCAUCAUGCCCCUUAUGUCCAGGGCUUCACACAUGCUACAAUGGUCGGUACAACGCGCAGCGACCCUGUGAGGUGGAGCGAAUCUCGGAAAGCCGGCCUCAGUUCGGAUUGGGGUCUGCAACUCGACCUCAUGAAGUCGGAGUCGCUAGUAAUCGCAGAUCAGCAACGCUGCGGUGAAUACGUUCCCGGGCCU